rnacentral:lncRNA from 1 species
GAGAUGAGGCCAUGAUGGGCAGUGGGGAUGGAGUUGUCUGUAGAAUGGGGGUGAGGACCACAGUGCGUGGGCUGGACCCUCUCAAGGGCAGGCUUCAGUUGUCCUGGCAGCUGUGCCUGUGGCCUUGGCAAUGGGGGUGUCCUGCAGAAACUGGACUCAUCACAGAGCUGGACACACCCCAGGCCCUGCCCUCCGUCCACCCACCCACGCUUCCAUGCACCCACCCACCCAUUCAUCCACCUGUCCGUCCAUGCACAGGUAUUUGCUGAGCUGGUGCCAUGUGCACAGGCGCUUUGCUAGCCUUUGGGAAGCUCCACAGUAAAACACAGGUCAUGUUUACCUCAAGUUUCCAAUCUAUUGUGAAGCUGCAGGCAGAGGUGAACUCAUCUUGGGGGCUGCAGGACACAACUCCAUGAGGUAGAGGAGUAAAUCAGGCAGAGGUGAACGCGUCUUGGGGGCUGCAGGACACAACCCCAUGAGGCAGAGGAAGUAAACCAGGCAGAGGUGAACGCGUCUUGGGGGCUGCAGGAAGUAAAAACAUUAGCACUUGGGUUUGUGUGUCUUUUCAUCCCAUCUCAUUCUUUAUGUGACUCCUUCUGUAUACCAGUUU